UAGGGAAUCUUCCACAAUGGGCGAAAGCCUGAUGGAGCAACGCCGCGUGUGUGAUGAAGGGUUUCGGCUCGUAAAACACUGUUGUAAGAGAAGAAUGACCUUGAGAGUAACUGUUCAAUGUGUGACGGUAUCUUACCAGAAAGGAACGGCUAAAUACGUGCCAG
rnacentral:rRNA from 1 species